rnacentral:rRNA from 1 species
GCGUACCUCGUGGGCGGCGAGACACGGCAGUUGACGUGAAGCCUUCGAGGUAGGUUAGUGGCGAACGGCUGAGUAACACGUGGCGCAUCUGCCCUCACUGCUGGGACAAGCCCUGGAAACGGGGUCAAUUACCGGUAACACUCUGUCCCGCAUGGGACGGAGUUAAAAGCUCCGGCGGUGAAGGAUGAGCCCGCGGCCUAUCAGCUUGUUGGGGGGGUAAUGGCCUACACAAGGCGACGACGGGUAGCCGGCCUGAGAGGGCAACCGGCCACACUGGAACUGAGACACGGCCCAGACACAUACGGAAGGCAGCUGAGGCCAUAUUGCACAUGGGCGAAAGCCUGAUGCAGCGACGCCGCGUGAGGGAUGAAGCCCUUCGCUUGAAUACAUCUUUAAGCAGGGAAGAAGCGAAAGUGAAGGUACCAGCAGAAGAAGCGCCGGCUAUCUACGUGCAAGCAGCCAGGCUUAUAAA